AAAGCAGGCCGCAAUUACAGUGCUUCAUUUGGUGGAAGGACUGCCAUUACCCUGCUGAGAGCAACAUCCUGCCGCAGAGUUACAGCUUCUCUCCUCUGUGGGAUGUGGACACUCUGUAACAGGCACAGCU